CCUAUAUGUCAAUGACUUGCUGGAGUGUAUGGAACUCUGCCUGGGGAAAGAUGGAGAAGCCAGCCAAGAGCAUGUUGAAGAACAAAUUCAACAGAAAGACAGGAUAUUAGGAGACAUCUGAGUACCCAUGAGUAUUACAGAAUCAUCCAACAGAGGCAAUCCCUGAGGCUCAGAUCAGGAUGCAGCUCAUUGAUCUAAGAGAGCAAUGCCCUACAUGGGCAGUGGCUAAAACAAACUGACCAGUGGCAGAGUCCUGUAUUAAUAUUGUUACUCUUUGUUUUCAUUCUUUUUCUCAAA